AGGGUUGUAGUUAAAAAUAACAUUUAAUUUGCAAUUAAAAAGUACUAUAUAUUAGUCUUCCUUA
rnacentral:tRNA from 1 species